UGUAGGGGUGAGAGCUGGGGAGGUGCAGUGCAGUAGCAGUGAGCGGUGUGCGAGUGAAGCUGCAGAGAGAGCAGGAGAGGAGGGGCCUCGCAUGGCGGUGAGAGCUCUCUGCUCUGGUAGCCAAGGAUGACUUGCCUGUGUUGGCCUCCGGCUGCAGGAGGCUCUCCUGCGGCGUGUGGUCUCGCAGGCAGUCUCCUUGGCUAGCCUGAGCGGCUCUCAUCCUUCAUGCCAGGCUCAUCUCCUCUUCAGUUUAUGUUUAUCAGUUGCUGCACGCGCUCGAGUUCACGGAAUCAUAUAUCUGCAAAUGCUUGUUCAGUUAUGCACAUGACAUUGCAAAAACUAGCAGAUCAAUGGUUGUAUGCAUUAACACACAGCACUUGGCUAGCUGCAGAACCAGGUCAAGAGCUAGAAAUGUUCGUGCAGACGAAAUGCAGCCGUGUAUUGCUUUAUUUUGCCCGGAGCAAGGGACACGAGGGCAGCCGGGCAGGGGUUCUUGUUGAAGGGCACGUCCAAGUGAAGAAGGAACACGCAAUUAUUUGCCUUCUUCUGUCCAUAUUCUUCAGCUGCAAAGUCAAGCUAGAUAGGUGGUUAUGCAAUCGAAUGACACUAAUAUUCUCAUGUAUAGUUUUUCAUUUGAACUAACGGUACAUGUUUUUUAUGAGGACGUACCUCUUGAAGGACUGUAAAAGCUUUUUUCAAUUCGGUUAAGAGUGAGAAAAGACAGAAGCACAGAAUAGAUGGAAAUCUUUUAAUUUGUUCCGAA